GUAGGUGGCAAGCGUUGUCCGGAAUUAUUGGGCGUAAAGCGCGCGCAGGCGGUCCUUUAAGUCUGAUGUGAAAGCCCACGGCUCAACCGUGGAGGGUCAUUGGAAACUGGGGGACUUGAGUACAGAAGAGGAAAGCGGAAUUCCAAGUGUAGCGGUGAAAUGCGUAGAGAUUUGGAGGAACACCAGUGGCGAAGGCGGCUUUCUGGUCUGUAACUGACGCUGAGGCGCGAAAGCGUGGGGAGCAAACAGGAUUAGAUACCCUGGUAGUCCACGCCGUAAACGAUGAGUGCUAAGUGUUAGGGGGUUUCCCGCCCCCUUAGUGCUGCAGCUAACGCAUUGAGCACUCCGCCUGGGGAGUACGGCCGCAAGGCUG
rnacentral:rRNA from 1 species